GUGGGGAAUUUUGGACAAUGGGCGCAAGCCUGAUCCAGCCAUGCCGCGUGCAGGAUGAAGGCCUUCGGGUUGUAAACUGCUUUUGUACGGAACGAAACGGCUCUUUCUAAUAAAGAGGGCUAAUGACGGUACCGUAAGAAUAAGCACCGGCUAACUACGUGCCAGCAGCCGCGGUACUACGUAGGGUGCGAGCGUUAAUCGGAAUUAAUGGGCGGAAAGCGUGGGCAGGCGGUGAUGUAAGACAGAUGUGAAAUCCCCGGGCGCAACCUGGGAACUGCAUUUGUGACUGCAUCGCUGGAGUGCGGCAGAGGGGGAUGGAAUUCCGCGUGUAGCAGUGAAAUGCGUAGAUAUGCGGAGGAACACCGAUGGCGAAGGCAAUCCCCUGGGCCUGCACUGACGCUCAUGCACGAAAGCGUGGGGAGCAAACAGGAUUAGAAACCCGGGUAGUCC
rnacentral:rRNA from 1 species